rnacentral:rRNA from 1 species
UACGUAGGGGGCAAGCGUUGUCCGGAUUUAUUGGGCGUAAAGAGCGUGUAGGCGGCCAAGUAAGUCUGCUGUGAAAACUCGAGGCUUAACCUCGAGCUGUCGGCGGAAACUAUUUGGCUAGAGUCCGGAAGAGGAGAAUGGAAUUCCCGGUGUAGCGGUGAAAUGCGCAGAUAUCGGGAAGAACACCCGUGGCGAAGGCGGUUCUCUGGG